UACGUAGGGGGCAAGCGUUGUCCGGAUUUAUUGGGCGUAAAGAGCGUGUAGGCGGUUUGGUAGGUCCGCUGUGAAAACUCGAGGCUCAACCUCGAGACGCCGGUGGAAACCAUCAGGCUAGAGUCCGGAAGAGGAGAGUGGAAUUCCUGGUGUAGCGGUGAAAUGCGCAGAUAUCAGGAGGAACACCGGUGGCGAAGGCGGCAUCCUGGACCGGUAUUGACGCUGAGGCGCGAAAGCCAGGGGAGCAAACGGG
rnacentral:rRNA from 1 species